rnacentral:misc_RNA from 1 species
AACUGAUACUACCUGCGGGAACCUGCGGAGGGAUCAUUAGCAGAGGAGAAAGGGGGGUGAAGGGGGGUUGGGUUGGGUUGGGUUGGGUUGAGGAAGUAGUGUGUGUAGAUUAUUUAUUUGUUUAUUUUCUACAUUUACCACACUCUACCUAUACCUACCUACCUAUCUAUUACACUCACUACAUUUACGCUUGUUGUGUUUUGACUGAUUUUUAUAGAGAUAAAAAAAAAGACAACUUUC